rnacentral:tmRNA from 1 species
GGGGGCGACCUGGUUUCGACGUGGUCGGUUCUCCGGAAGAGCUGCAAGCCGAGGUCCCCGGUUGGCCUCGUAAAACCACCGGGAAACAAGCAAGUGCGAACGAUAGAGAGCUCGCACUCGCCGCCUAACUCCGGUUAGGUAGCGCAUCGCCCCGAUCUGGGCCCGUGGAUCGGUCGGCGGUGACAACGAACGGGCUUGCCGCCAAGGGAGAGCCAAUCGCCUGAGGCGGGACUCCAAAGGAUGGCUAGCCCGUCGGUGGGCGGCCUGCGAGCCGGCUGUCGGGCGAAUCGAAAUCGCAGGACAAGCUUGUAGACGCCCUUGCCGGUGCGGCCGCGGACGCGGGUUCGAUUCCCGCCGCCUCCACCU